UAAACAAAACUUUAGGUAUGAUUCUGGAAUUUUUGUGAUCCAAUACAUGAGGUGCUACAAUGGAGUUGAAGUAAAACAAUUCUCAAAUGUUGACUUGCAAGCAAUCCGUGAAAAAGUCUCAUGCCAGCUAGUGAUAAACAAAUUCAAUGAGCAACAGGUUCCAAUAGCACGAGAAUUCAUUUCGAAACAUGCUCCACAUCUUCUUCAUUAAUGAAGAUAGCAAUUUAUUUCAAAUAGACAGAUGAUGUAUUGAAAAUGUAAGUCCCUUCAAGUUACUAUUUUUCCCCAAUUGAUUUUUAUUCGGUCAUUACAAAAUAUAUGAUUUCUUCCAACAUAGAAAAAGCUUGCUAUGCAUUUUCUGUCUGAAUUGGUCUCUCAUGGUUAGAUCCCCCUAUGUUUCUAUUCUCUGGAACGCGUCGUGCACAUGAUCUAUCGCUUAGCAUUCACUCCAUAGAAUACAAUGCAUUCAGACAGUGGAACUUUUAUAGUUUCUCAAAUAAAAAGUGGGACUCAGAAAUGUUUUUGAGUGAAAAUUUUCCAGUAAUAAAAAACA